rnacentral:rRNA from 1 species
CCUACGGGAGGCAGCAGUGAGGAGUAUUGGUCAAUGGGCGAGAGCCUGAACCAGCCAAGUCGCGUGAAGGAUGACUGUCUUAUGGAUUGUAAACUUCUUUUAUACGGGAAUAACAAGAGUCACGUGUGACUCCCUGCAUGUACCGUAUGAAUAAGCAUCGGCUAACUCCGUGCCAGCAGCCGCGGUAAUACGGAGGAUGCGAGCGUUAUCCGGAUUUAUUGGGUUUAAAGGGUGCGUAGGCGGUUUGUUAAGUCAGCGGUGAAAUCUAGAGGCUCAACCUCGAAACUGCCGUUGAAACUGGCGAACUUGAGUGUAGAUGAGGUAGGCGGAAUUCGUGGUGUAGCGGUGAAAUGCAUAGAUAUCACGAGGAACUCCAAUUGCGAAGGCAGCUUACUAAGGUACAACUGACGCUGAAGCACGAAAGCGUGGGUAUCAAACAGGAUUAGAUACCCUGGUAGUCCACGCAGUAAACGAUGAUAACUGGGCGUAUGCGAUAUACAGUAUGCUCCUAAGCGAAAGCGUUAAGUUAUCCUCCUGGGGAGUACGCCGGCAACGGUGAAACUCAAAGGAAUUGACGG